rnacentral:rRNA from 1 species
GACGAACCGUGCGAACGUUGUUCGGAUUCACUGGGCUUAAAGGGCGCGUAGGCGGCUUGCCGAGUCAGGGGUGAAAUCUUUCGGCUCAACCGGAAAACUGCCCCUGAGACCGGCCGGCUGGAGGGGGGUAGGGGCGGACGGAACUUCCGGUGGAGCGGUGAAAUGCGUAGAUAUCGCUUGGAACGCCGAAGGUGAAAACAGGUCGCUGGGGAUGUGCCGACGCUGAGACACGAAAGCCAGGGGAGCAAACGGG